rnacentral:lncRNA from 1 species
CUUUUUAGGGCCAUACUUGCAGCACAUGGAGGUUCCCAGGCCAGGGGUUGAAUUGGAGCUGCAGCUGCCGGCCUACACCACAGCCCCAGCAACCUGGGAUCUAAGCCACGUCUGCGACCUACACCUCAGCUCACAGCAAGGCGGGAUCCUUAACCCACCGAGCGAGGCCAGGGAUCAAACCCACAUCCUCAUGGAUCCUCGUUGGGUUUGUUUCCACUGAGCCACGAUGGCAACUCCAGAGUUAAUUGCUGGGCUAAAGAGGUGCUGCUGACGGCCGCGGCUCAGGGCCCAGGCUGCGAGGCGGGCAGGAAAGGAGGCAGACCCCCGCAGGCGAGGGCAGGGGCGAGGAAAAGCCUGGGCCUCUGCAGGGCACUCGUCUGUCUGUCUUCCUUUCCAUCCGCGUCCUCCACUACCUGGAGGAAGAGUGAGAUCGAGAUGGAGAAGUCGAGGACGGGGGCAGGACAGGUGACCCUGGAGAGGUGGAGGAGCUGCAUCUCAAGGAGACGGAGGGCCCGAGCAGCACGCGCAACAGGAGGACGGGCAGGUCGAGGGCCAAGAACACCUUCCUUCCUCCCAGGGAUGCGGGGCAGGGACCAAGACCCGAGGAACGUCGCUGUGCCCUGGAGAAAGGCAGGGCGGGGGGCCAGGUGGGGCAGGGACCUCUCAGCCGACAGGUGACAACCGUCCCUCUGGGGCGGGCGGGCAUCCUCAGAGCAGAAGGAGGGCGUCGUCAUGGAACUCGUUAGAACCUUCUCCCGGCCACGCGGCCACGCGCUGUGAACCCGGCUGGGACGUGAGGCAAACCCACACCACGGGCCAGCGCGGGAGGAAAGACCCGUGAUGGAGAACCCUCCGCAUCAGCUUGUUUUCUCACCACCACCACCACCACCGCUCCAAGAGGGGACCCACUCUCGGAGUUGACGGGAAACGACGAAUACGUGGAGAGACAUUCAGGGAAAAACGGUUAAUUGUAGUCAUACGUGUAGUCGUAAUUGGCCCUCGUCGGCCAAUAGAAGGAAGACAGUUGCAACUUUUCCCAGGAAAUUAUUCGCUCAAUCCUUCACGAGGUGGACCUCGUCCUUUUUCUGAGAAAACUUGAUGGCGGUCUUUAGUAUUCACUGGCAUAAUUAGGACCGCAGUUAAUUUCAUUAAAUUCUCUUGCUGCUAAAUGAAGCAGAUUAUGAGACAUCUUUUAUUGCAAGGCGUGAAAUUACAGCCUGUCAGCUGCCAAUGGCGGGGUGAAACUAAUGAAUUACAGGGUAAAUAACACCAGAAUUAACCAGCCAAUUUAACAUAGCGCCACGGAGCAAAGUCAUUUUUACUUAGAGCUUUAAGGGGCAACGUGGCCAGGAUACCUCUGAAGCACACGUAUGAACCGGGAGCUCAGUCUACUCAGACCCCAAACACGGAGGGGGUGGAGAAAACAGCCGUGGAUGUGACUCUCAAACAGUGGAAAAGCACUAAGAGCCCAAACGAGCGAAACUCUCCCCAGUAUUUACAAGCUGGAGAAGAAGCUAAAGAAACACAUGCUCAAGAGGCAACUGCGUUCCUCCCCCACUCGCUCUGUUAAGAGGAUGCAGAAAACUUCGUCUGUGUGUUGGGUUCAGUGGUGUGUGAGAACACACUACACAGGAGAUUCCGGAGAGGGAGACACAGGGACUCGGACACACAGGUGCCUCACACACAGGUGCCUCACACACACCUACACUGCCAGUCUCGUGCCCGAUGUUCUCGUCGUGGGCAUCACAGUCAAUGGGUU